rnacentral:rRNA from 1 species
GACGAGAAGACCCUGUGGAGCUUUAAUUUACUAGUUUAAUUUAUAUAAAAAUAACCUAAUGGCUCAAAACAAAACAAAUAUAAACUAAAAAAUUUCGGUUGGGGUGACCUCGGAGAAUAAAAAAUCCUCCGAAUGAUUUUAACCUAGACCCACAAGUCAAAGUAACUCCAGUAUCUCAUUGACCCAAUUAUUGAUCAACGGACCAAGUUACCCUAGGGAUAACAGCGCAAUCCUAUUCAAGAGUUCAUAUCGACAAUUAGGGUUUACGACCUCGAUGUUGGAUCAGGACAUCCCAAUGGUGCAGAAGCU